AGGGUUUCCAGUUAUCACUUGCCACCUGAUCAAUCCAGGCUCAGUACCUGUAAGCAAUGACGGCAUUUAUUUUGUUCCUGAACCCACAGUUCAGACAAAGCUCUUGAAGAAGGCUUGCCCACCCCUUCCACUCUGGAAAAGCAAUGGUGGCUCAAAAGAUGGAGUGGUAGCCACCUGAAGGCUCAUUUGUGCCCAGCAUCGGAAGCUGGUCACAGACUGGAACAUGAGCUGGGAUGUGCACAGGGUAUCUCUGGGACCUUGCCCUGCCACCUGAGUUUCUUGACAAUGUGGCAGCUCAAAUAAGAGAGGAGGGAGCAGAGGGAGAGAGAACUAGCUCUUUAUGGUCUUUUAUAACCACAGCAGAUGGAUACAAUAUUCAUGACUCAGCUUUAAACAUUCCUUUUCUUUCUGUGAUCGGAUCCUGGGGCAAGGAAUGAUCACAAGUAGAGGGGUCCACUGGGGUGAACCCUGAACUUAGUUUGGGGCUGAAAAAGAUCAGCAGGAAACUCAUCAAAUCCACCUGAAACCCCCAGAGGUAACAACAGGGUCAGACAAUCUCCCAGGGCAUAAAGAGCAGCAGAUAUUCUCGGCCUGUAAGACAUGUGCACCCAUGUUUGCCUGUGUGGAGCUGGAGAGGACAAUACUGAGGGAGAGUGGGACAUAAGGAGAGGAAGAGCCGGGAUGGUGAAGGGUCUUUCUUGGGUUCUGAAAAUACCAGGGAACCAGCAAGGGCCAAAGUAUGUCCUCAGCAGUAGCUUCUUGGAACAUCCCCUAAACUUAAUGGAUUUUCUGGUGACACUGACAGCCCAUCCUUUCCCUCCAAGCUUACUGACCACCCCUAUUCCUGGAGUGCACUCAUCCUCAGAGGUGUGGAGACACCCAGAAGGGGCUUCCAGUCCCGUGAAGACCACAGCAGACAUCCAGGAGCAAGAGCAGAGUUCAGGGGCAGAAAUGGGUAUGAGAACACAUGGGACCCCUUCCCUCUCCUCCGGCUCACCUCCCAGCUCCAGACGCCCCUGGCCUCAAUGAGAGAGACAGAGCAAGGGUCCUAUGCUGCUGUGCUGGAAACACAGCACAAGGAAAAGCAGAGGACAAGUCAACCCGAGGGCCCAGCUGUGGCUCACAGAUAAGACCAACUCUCUGCUACCACUGUUCAACUUCCGGCUGGGUCCUAUCUAUGGUCAUGGCCCUCAGAGGGCAAGCCACUGCCCAUAGACUGAGGAGUUGAAAGAGUUCCCAUAUCCAGUGCUGAGGUUCAGCCCAGUGUUUUCCUCUGAAGCUAUCCAGUCUGCAGUUGGCCAGAGGAAAGGGAGUGGUUGGUCAAUCAGGAAACAGCAGAGCCCAGGCUCAGGUAGGUAGGGCAGGGCCCCAAGAAAGAAACAGGGGCACCCAUCUGCCUCCAGCCCUGUUUCUAGCAGAUAAGAACAUGGACAGAGACCCAGGCCUGCAUAGUACCCCGAUCUCCCCACCCCACCCUUCACAUGCAUACACACACACACACACACACACACACACACACACACAACUCCUGUCUAUUCCCUCAGCAGCAAGGAUAGGCAUAGAUUCCACUCUGCAAACGUUUGAGCCCCUGACCCCAAUGAGUACAAGACCCAGAGGACACGUGGUGAAAGAAAGCAAUCCAUGACCCCAGACGCAAGGGGAGGCUCUUAGAAGGAGUGUGUAAAUGAGAGACCACACACCCUGAGGUUGCCCUCCAGUUGGCAGAACAGCUGAGUCAGCUCUAUACAAUGAGAAGAGACCCAAGAUCAGACACAGAAGAAAAAAAUAUGGCCAACUGGGACCUUGAAUGACAUCAGGCAGGCCGGGGUGGGGGGGUGGGGGGAGGGUUCCAGGUCUAGAAGUAAACAUUCCUAAUUUUAAUCCACGUAUAAGCAGUGAUUAGUAGCAAAGGUGCUGAACUGAGAGUCUGGCAAACCACUUUGGAUGUUAGCUGUGGGGUAGUUAAUGUCCAUACAGGCCUCAGAUCCCUCUCCUGUAUCCCAGAAGAGAUGCCCAGCAAGCCACUGAAGGCAUGUGCAUCUGUGCAGGAGGUGAACGUUCCACGAGUGGGUGGGCGCACAGUCCGGUUCUGAUACUAGCAGUAUCUGGGAUGGUUCCUAGACAGCCUAUCCCUGCUUCAAUCAUGUCUCCUGUUCUGCUUCUCAUAUGUUGAGAUGGCACAGGAGACACACCUGCUGCAUGCUCCCUGGAGCUUCUUCAGCCCCUUAAGCAGAGACCAUGGUGUGUCUGACUUUCCAGUGCAGAGAGCCUGCAGGCUAGUGUAAGGGCCCCUCUUCGAGAGCUUGCCCACUCCCCUCCUGACCACCUGCUUCUGCCCACUUCUCUGCUCAUUAUCACCUCCACCAGGAGGUGGAGAAGCAGAGCCGAGGAGGUUAAAUUCAAAUCAUUCAUUUUGUCACUUGCUGCCAGAAAGCAGGAGGGGAGAGAGACACAGGGCCUCAGGUGCAGGCUGUGGGCAGAAAUGAGUCCUGGUAAUUCUCAGGAAGUCUCCUGGAUGUUUUCACGUUGGCCCAGUUCUGCCACAGAGAACGCUAGGGGAGCCUUCUAUGAACGGCCUCCUUAAGCAACUGUUAAUGGUGUUGUCUGCAGCUGCAGAGACUUCAUCUGACCUGGGGAAACAUCUGCACUGGUGACAGAAAGAGGCGGGACCCGAUCCUUUAGCGGGUGUGUCAUCUGGUUGUACUUGUUACCAGCAGGGUUACUAGGGUGUGGUGAAGGUUGUCCCCUGAUCUUCCGUGUGGGGCAUCUUUCCGGAGCUAACACUCCAUCCACAAUUGCUAGAAAGUAAGAGAGCAGGCAGGUGAGGUCGACGCUUUGGGAGCUGAACACUAUGGCCGAGUGAAGCGUACCAGCGUACCCUCGUACCCUCGAGGGUGAGUGAACGCAAGGGCAGCUUGAUUAGCUCUGCCACGAGAUUCAUGAGAUGGCAGAGUGUGUCUGUUUCUCCAGAGAAUAUUAACUGAGCGGGGCAUCCACCCUGAAUGCGAGUGGCACUAUGGGCUGAGGGCACUGACCUGAGGAGAGGAUAAGGGAGGGGAGAGGAGGCGGCUAGCCCAGGACCAGAGUUCUCCCUCCCUCUGCUUUCUCUCUUCCUCCAUCAUGAAAUGGACCUCUCGACAAGCCUCCCCCUUAAAGGUGACUGAGUCCUCCCAAACCAUGAGAAAAAUAAAUGUCCCCUGCUCUCAGUUGCUUGUGCCAGCUGUUCUUGGUCACUGCCUCACAGAAAGUAACACAGGACCCAUUUGAUAGACUGGGGUGGAGAUGAAACUCACUAAAGAGAUCAGAGACAAACGCAUUUAACGUCACUGAGAGGCACCGGGUGCACAAUUCUACGUGGUGCCAGUGGGGACCAUGAUAUCAUGUUGCCUGCACUGCCUACAUACACCUAAACUUGCUACUAGUCAGAGGGCAUUCCUACAGCACAGUCUGCCCACAAGAGUGCUGGGCCAAGGCCCUUCUUGAUGCUCACCAAGACUUCCUCCUCAUUAGUCUAGGAUGACUGGACAUUGAAUGCCUGAGAGGACAUCUUCAACUACCUAUCCAGUGUGAGGAUCCAUGCACUAGUCUCAAUCCCCCAGGGGUCACCUUGCCCCUCACAGGACUUCAUUUGUAAUAAUCCAUCUGCCCACCACUUUAAGCCUAGAAAACACCCAGCUCCGAGUUUCUGCUAUUCUCUUUGCACGCUCCUCUCUCCCAGUUCGACUCAACAUUGAGGAAACUGAGUCAUGGGAAGGGGGAGUGUGACUGUGCAUCUUGACUGACUCCUGAGCAUUGAAAAGUAGAUUCCCAUACACCGAGGAUCCACCCACCGUCCCAUAGGUCUCCUUGGAAUAUUUGUCCAUUAUGGUUUAACCUUUAGAGAGUGGCCAACAAACCAGCAUGGUGGUCUAAAACAUCCGGGAUUUUUUUUUUUGAUGGUGCAGAUGCCCUGAGCCAACCACUUAGGCAGUGUUCCCUUCCAGUGUGAGUGUGGUUGAACACUCCAACCCCGGGGCUCCACCUAUAGCUGCAACCGAAAUGGAAUCUGCAGACAGAGCCGAGGCAUUUCGCAUGCAAAAUUUUUCUUUUAAAUAUGAAAUCUCUCCCAAGGCAUUACUUUAUUAUUAUAGUAAUUUCCUCAGAAGGGCAGACAUCCAAUGUGCUGUUUCUCCACCAUCUUCCGAGACAGGGAGAUUUAAUAGAAAUAUUCAGGUUCCUUAAGUGGCUAGGGCAGAAGAGGGAGAAAGAGAGGGAGCUUCUCCAAGGAGCAGACUCCUGGAAUCCAGGUGACAGGCAUGCUCCAGACCUGUGGUGGCAGGUAAGGGCCUGAGCCAUAGAGACGUUGGUCUUGGUGUGUCCAGGGGAGAGGCAGGAGAAAGAAACAUAGGGGAGCUUUGUGGGCAGUGACUCUUUGUUGUCAGCAUGGAGUCAUUUCUCUUCUCCAAGACCAUGGAAACCUGGAAGCCCAACUGAUCAGUGAGGACCCCAACAGCCACUAGCUGAGCUGGCACCAAGCUCUUUCCACCCAUGAAUGGAGGCCAAAUAGGUUCCAUGUAAAGCCUAUGCUGGAGGCGGAAAGAGGAAGUGCGGGUAAGAACACAGAUUCUACAUCCUGACUGCCUGUGUUCAAAUUCUGGCUUGACCACUUUCCAGACAGGUGUCUUUAUUAAAUAUUAAGUAUGACUGGUGUGUCUCAGGCUUCUCGCCUGAAAAAUGGGACAGGGCUUGAUAAUAAAAAUGGUGUAAAGACUGAUGGAGGGCUGUGUGUGUGUGUUUAUGGGAGAGGUGGGUGUGUGCGUGCGUGUGUGAGAGAGGGUGAGGGAGAGCGAGCCUGGGAGAGCGCGCGAGAGCGUGUGCGUCCUGGUGUCACAUUGCGAGCUACAGCGGAGCCUACGGGAGGACAGAGCGGGCCAGACUGA
ensembl:lincRNA